GACGAACGCUGGCGGCGUGCUUAACACAUGCAAGUCGAACGGAAAGGCCCUGCUUUUGUGGGGUGCUCGAGUGGCGAACGGGUGAGUAACACGUGAGUAACCUGCCCUUGACUUUGGGAUAACUUCAGGAAACGGGGGCUAAUACCGGAUAGGAGCUCCUGCUGCAUGGUGGGGGUUGGAAAGUUUCGGCGGUUGGGGAUGGACUCGCGGCUUAUCAGCUUGUUGGUGGGGUAGUGGCUUACCAAGGCUUUGACGGGUAGCCGGCCUGAGAGGGUGACCGGCCACAUUGGGACUGAGAUACGGCCCAGACUCCUACGGGAGGCAGCAGUGGGGAAUAUUGCACAAUGGGCGGAAGCCUGAUGCAGAAACGCCGCGUGCGGGAUGACGGCCUUCGGGUUGUAAACCGCUUUCGCCUGUGACGAAGCGUGAGUGACGGUAAUGGGUAAAGAAGCACCGGCUAACUACGUG
rnacentral:rRNA from 1 species